UUUAAUGAGAGUUUGAUCCUGGCUCAGGACGAACGCUGGCGGCGUGCCUAAUACAUGCAAGUAGAACGCUGAGGUUUGGUGUUUACACUAGACUGAUGAGUUGCGAACGGGUGAGUAACGCGUAGGUAACCUG
rnacentral:rRNA from 1 species